rnacentral:rRNA from 1 species
GAUGAACGCUAGCUACAGGCUUAACACAUGCAAGUCGAGGGGUAACAAGAGAAUAGCUUGCUUUUCUUGUUGACGACCGGCGCACGGGUGAGUAACGCGUAUCCAACCUGCCUAUAACUAGGGAAUAACCUUGCGAAAGUAAGACUAAUAUCCUAUGAUUCCCUUUGAUGACAUCAGAUUAGGAAUAAAGAUUUAUCGGUUAUAGAUGGGGAUGAGUCUGAUUAGCUUGGUGGAGGGGUAACGGCCCACCAAGGCAACGAUCAGUAGGGGGUCUGGGAGGAAGGUCCCCCACAUUGGAACUGAGACACGGUCCAAACUCCUACGGGAGGCAGCAGUGAGGAAUAUUGGUCAAUGGGCGGAAGCCUGAACCAGCCAAGUAGCGUGCAGGAUGACGGCCCUAUGGGUUGUAAACUGCUUUUAUACAGGAAAAAAGUUAGCCACGUGUGGUUAUUUGUAGGUACUGUAUGAAUAAGGACCGGCUAAUUCCGUGCCAGCCGCCGCCGUAA